rnacentral:rRNA from 1 species
AUUGAACGCUGGCGGCAUGCUUUACACAUGCAAGUCGAACGGUAACAGGCCGCAAGGUUCUGACGAGUGGCGAACGGGUGAGUAAUGCAUCGGAACGUGCCCAGUCGUGGGGGAUAACGCAGCGAAAGCUGCGCUAAUACCGCAUACGAUCUAUGGAUGAAAGCGGGGGACCGUAAGGCCUCGCGCGCUUGGAGCGGCCGAUGUCAGAGUAGGUAGUUGGUGGGGUAAAGGCUCACCAAGCCAACGAUCUGGAGCUGGUCUGAGAGGACGAGCAGCCACACUGGGACUGAGACACGGCCCAGACUCCUACGGGAGGCAGCAGUGGGGAAUUUUGGACAAUGGGCGCAAGCCUGAUCCAGCAAUGCCGCGUGCAGGAAGAAGGCCUUCGGGUUGUAAACUGCUUUUGUACGGAACGAAACGGCUCUGGUUAAUACCUGGGGCUAAUGACGGUACCGUAAGAACAAGCACCGGCUAACUACGUGCCAGCCGCCGCGGUAAGAC